UCGGUGGUCUCGACUCUCGAAGAGUUGUAGUAAAUGACAAAUGGGUAUCAUUAUGAAGCGCUUUGGAGAAGAUACUAUUAGUUGGUGAAUUACUAUGCAAAGCGAUGGCUGUUGCGCCGAGCGUAUCAGUUUAGACAAAGGGCGGCGAUGAUAUCAAGUUGCUGCAGAUAUUAUAUAACCCAAUCAAAUUGAAUCAGCGAAGUGAAGCACCAUCCCCAUUCAAACAUGUGUUUUAAGGUCGAUUGCCAGCGAUGUGGGAAGUUCUCCUGGGGUGGGUGCGGCGAACACCUGGCGACUCUGUAUGCCAGCAUUGAUCAGGGAAAGCAUUGCAUGUGCCGCUCAUGGCCUGGAGUUGUCAUGCCGUCCAAAGAGACAACCUGCAAGCAACCAUCGGGGUCGGGGGGAGACUCUGCUCCAACUGCCAAGGAAAAGUAGAACCUUGAAGAGUUGAAGAUGCCUUGGAUUCUGGGGGCAGUGUUAUUUUCUAAAGUUAAGAGAGUAGUGGUUGGAGCUAUUCAUAAAUAAUUCCAGAGAAAGAGAGUGUGUAAUUAGUUGGAUAUAAUCAUGUCCUAACUAUAGUAUUUGAAUAAUGUAUUGUGGGUAUGGUCAAGAUAUGUUGACCAUCUCUAACCUGCAAUUCGAAGCUUUUAUGGAUUAAAAUAAUAAAUAAUCAAGUAUUUCCUC